rnacentral:rRNA from 1 species
UGACGACGAGACGCGAAGGCGUUGAAGCAGUGUACGUCAGACUUCCAAGAAAAGCUCGCAAUGUCAUUAAUAAAAAAUGCCUGUACCAUAACCGACACAGGUGGGUAGGUAGAGUAUACUAAGGGGCGCGAGAUAACUCUCUCUAAGGAACUCGGCAAAAUGACUCCGUAACUUCGGGAGAAGGAGUGCCUUAUUUAUAAGGUUGCAAUAACAAGAUCCAAGCAACUGUUUAUCAAAAACACAGGUCUCCGCUAAGUCGUAAGACGAUGUAUGGGGGCUGACGCCUGCCCAGUGCCAGAAGGUUAAAGAAGUUGGUUAGUGUAUGCGAAGCUGAUGACUGAAGCCCUGGUGAACGGCGGCCGUAACUAUAACGGUCCUAAGGUAGCGAAAUUCCUUGUCGGGUAAGUUCCGACCCGCACGAAAGGCGUAAUGAUUUGGAUACUGUCUCGGAGAGAGGCUCGGUGAAAUAGACUUGUCUGUGAAGAUGCGGACUACCUGCACCAGGACAGAAAGACCCUAUGAAGCUUUACUGUAACUUGAAAUUGGAAUUGGACUUUGCUUGCGCAGUAUAGGUGGGAAGCGUUGAAGAUAUUCUUGCGGGAGUAUUGGAGCUAUCAGUGAGAUACCACUCUUGUAAUGUUAGAUUUCUAACUUUGAACCAUAAUCUGGUCAAAGAACAGUUUCAGGUGCAGUUUGACUGGGGCGGUCGCCUCCCAAAUGGUAACGGAGGCGUACAAAGGUUUCCUCUGAACGGAUAGAAAUCGUAUCUAGAGUGUAAAGGCAUAAGGAAGCUUGACUGUGAGACCUACAAGUCGAGCAGGGACGAAAGUCGGUCUUAGUGAUCUGACGGUACUGAGUGGAAAGGCCGUCACUCAACGGAUAAAAGUUACUCUAGGGAUAACAGGCUGAUCUCCCCCAAGAGUUCACAUCGACGGGGAGGUUUGGCACCUCGAUGUCGGCUCAUCGCAUCCUGGGGCGGUAGUACGUCCCAAGGGUUGGGCUGUUCGCCCAUGAAAGCGGUACGCGAGCUGGGUUCAGAACGUCGUGAGACAGUUCGGUCCAUAUCCGGUGUAGGCGUUAGAAUAUUGAGAGGAGCCUUCUUUAGUACGAGAGGACCGAGAAGGACACACCGCUGGUGUACCAGUUAUCGUGCCAACGGUAAACGCUGGGUAGCUAUGUGUGGAGUGGAUAACCGCUGAAAGCAUCUAAGUGGGAAGCCCACCUCAAGAUGAGUAUUCUC